GAAUGAAGUAAGCAUGGUAAUGUGCAAAGAAAUUGAUUUGGGUCUCUAAGCCUACACUCUAUGAUGCCUUUCGAGUUUGGUUUGGGGGCAUGGUUCCGCAACAAACGU